GAUAGGGAUGAGCUCCUGAAAAUUUAUUAACCAAAAAUGACCAGCUUUAAAUAUGCAUGAAUAGCCCACAAAUGAUGUGAUGUUUCUAGCAUUUUUAGCUGGUUUUAGAAUAGUGCACCCAUGCUAACCAGCAUAAUAAUACUCCUAACACUCUAUGCAACUGUGUUAAAUCAUCAAAGGCAUAAGGAAAUGAAGCACAAGAAAUAUGCCUAAGAUCAUAAAUUUGAAUAAGUACUAGAGCAAUAUCCAUAGACUGAUUUCAAACAAUUGAAAAACUUUAGGCAACAAUUCUAAGAGGUAACUACACAUAUCCAGUAAUACAACAUAUAUCAAAAUAACAACUAUAAGAUUCAACUUUCAAAAUAAAAGUCUGUGAGAACUUCAAAAAUCACAAUUAACCAUUACAUGUGUUUACAUAAAACAGGAAACAACAAAGCCCUUAUGUAAUAGACUCAUCGAAGCUCUAUGAAAGAUAAAAACAUAAAAAUAACAACAACA
rnacentral:misc_RNA from 1 species